rnacentral:lncRNA from 1 species
CCAUCCAAACAUAUCAAACAAGAUAAUUCCAAAAUACAUCAUACCACAAAACAUCACUUUCUUCCUCUUAAACUCGUUAUCAACUCCAAAAUCUCGACACGAAGACCCGAAACCCUUUCAGGAGUAACACGUUCUUCAACUUUCGCAAACCACAAAUCCUCAUUCUUUGUCGAAUUGCCAUCAAACCAGUCACAUACUUCCUUCGCAAUGGCUAAAACAUACAAACCACAAUCAUAACCCGUAGCUUGUUGCGGGCUGCUCUCACAUUCCACAUAACGUGAUCCAGAACCACCCGUAUACGGAACAAGCGUUCUAUAAAGGCGUUUCGCAUCAUUCUUGUUCAUACCACCAUAACUGUCAUGAUGCACGAAUACAUUAGUGGCUUUCUCAAACGCAAGUAAGCUCCAGUGGCUGCCGCCUUCUACCGCCGUUACAUCAUCGUUGUUGUUUACAGGGAAGAUUAUAAGCUGUUUCGAUGGUAGGUUUAGGGGUUGUAGGAAAUCGUUGAGGCUGCUGGUGUCAGGACAGUUCAUUAUCCAGAAAGUGAUUGAAGGUGGGACGAGUAGAAUGUGUUCGGAAGGAUGUGAUGAAGAAAGAUAACUGAAGUAAAAUUCGAUUAUGCGAUCGUUAAGAUAAUAUGGACCGUUUAGAAUCCCUAAAUCGGAUUGCCGUAGCACGACGUCGUUAUAACUUAAGAUCUUCUCAUCGGCUGAGGAUUUUGGCAUGUUGCAGAUGUUAAUGUGGCACCUGGUUUAUCAAAAUAACAAGGAUCGUGUUCAAGUUACAUGA